UACGAAGGGGGCUAGCGUUGCUCGGAAUCACUGGGCGUAAAGCGCACGUAGGCGGCUUUUUAAGUCAGGGGUGAAGUCCUGGAGCUCAACUCCAGAACUGCCUUUGAUACUGAGAAGCUCGAGUCCGGGAGAGGUGAGUGGAACUGCGAGUGUAGAGGUGAAAUUCGUAGAUAUUCGCAAGAACACCAGUGGCGAAGGCGGCUCACUGGCCCGGUACCGACGCUGAGGUGCGAAAGCGUGGGGAGCAAACAGG
rnacentral:rRNA from 1 species